rnacentral:rRNA from 1 species
AUGCGUGGGAUGCAAGCGUUAUCCGGAUUUACUGGGCGUAAAGGGUUUCGCAGGCGGAUUGUUAAGUCUAGUCUUAAAUACUGAGGCUCAACCUCAGCUACAGGAUUGGAUACUGGCAAUCUUGAGGAUAUCAGGGGGAACUGGAAUACUCGGUGGAGGGGUAAAAUCCGUUGAGAUCGAGUAGAACGCCAAUGGCGAAGGCAGGUUCCUGGGGUAUUCCUGACGCUCAGGUACGAAAGCUAGGGUAGC